CAAGAUUUAAAUGCGGCAGUGUGAGAUUAAAAAAAUAAAAUGAAAUGUUCGUACAGCAUAUGAGGCGGGAAGAUUCUUGUCUAAAGGAUUUAUAAGGAUAAAAAGGAAGUUGAACUAAGACUAACAGUUUUAGAGAGUACAUAGUUCCGCCUACAUCCAUGUGCUGCUUUCUUUUCUGACUUCUAAAUCUUGAUGCUACUUCAUGCUAUUUGUAAACACAACAUUUUCAAACAAUAGCCCACUCCAAGGAGUUUACAGCUCAAUAAAAACGCCCAUUUCCGUUCAUGAAAUUGUUCUUAUUACGUUAUCCCGCCUCGUUUUCAGUGGACAGGGUAAUUCAGUCGUCAUGGCUUUUUUGUUUCUUCAAAUCAGCGGGUUCUUCAGAGUGGAGCCCCCGUCUCUCCAUUUAGUGUGCUUGCUCAAAGGUCUCGCCCCCGGGUCUUCUCGUUGUCCACCGCGUGAGGGAUAUUAGACUAUUAUUCUGAUCGAGGUCGUAGCCGUGCUUGUGGUAAAACUUGAAGCAAACAAUACUGGCAGAGGGAUGUUUCCUCCAGGUCCAUUUAGCAGCCGAUGAGGAGCUUUCGGUCACGAUGGGAGCCCAGUGGUCAUCGAAGUCCUUUCAAAAUAUCCUUUCUGUCUGAUCGCUUCUGAGGCUGCUGCAGAAAAAUGAAAACACCAGAGCAGGCUCUGCAAGGAGGAGCACUGGGCCUAAUACCGGCACAAAGAAGAAGACGAGAGGUCCGACUUUUCUUCUUAAACUUUUUGGACAUAAACGCCCUCGCAGCCUCUCAGAACAGUGAUUGUGUAUUUUGUUUUUUUAAGUGAUGAAUAAAAACUUCAUUUUGUGGAUUCUGCAGCAAACUGAAGCCUUCAUGCAGUAUCAGAGGUUGGUGUGUGUACAGUAAUAACCAUGUUCUUACUUCUUGCCUUAUUCUGACAGCAUCACUCAUUGAAGGGCUGCUCUGGUUGCUCCUCAGGCUUCCAUGAAAACACUGAGACAACAGCGUGUUACUGCAUCUCUAACAAACACUUUACCUGCAGCUUUUAGGCCCGUGCACAUUUGUUAGGCUGGGGUUGUAGCUCAGUGGCACAGAGUGGCCUUUCAUAGACACACACACUGAUGGUUUUGAUUUUUAACAGUGAGUAGAUUAAAAUAAUUUGUAUUUUCACCUCACGCUUAAAAGGUUGUAAUUAAUGUAAUUAGAGAACGUUCUGAAUAAAAAUGAUCUUAACUUUCAGUUCAAAGUGGAACGAGGUUCCUGCGAUGGUUCAGCUCUGGCAGAAAUUCGUCUUUUGCCGGCUGCUGACGAUCAUGGACACACAGCAGCUAACUGAACUUCCACUGGAAUGUGGUUGGAGGGCAGAAUGUUUCAUACAGACAGGCUGUUUCUGAGUUGUGUCUUCACAAAGUUAGUUCCAAAAAUCAAACAUCAUCAUUUGUCCAUCCGGGUGAUUUUGAAGAACAACUGUAUCACCUGCAAUGCAGUGAUCUCAC
ensembl:lncRNA